rnacentral:misc_RNA from 1 species
AUGUUGAUGUGCAUUGCAUGUAAUUGCUUAGAACUUUUUAACUUUCAGUAGCAAGGAUCUGUUGUACAUUCCAAUGUGAUAUUGACAAGAUAAUGAUCUGUAUCAUCUUUGCUUAUCAAAGGAGAUGAUCUGCUCAGAGGGGCAAAUUGUGUCCCUUGGCUACCAGAGAUGGAUCUGCACAUUCAGAACAGAAUUUUUUUUAACAACAACACAGUGUUUCCUCAUACAGAUUCAAAUAUUUAUUGUCAGAAUUUCUUCAAGUGUUUUGGUUUUAACUGAGUAAAAAUAAUAAAACAUAAUAUUCUUCUG